ensembl:lncRNA
CAAGAACAGAAAAUCCCUUAACCAGCUCAAGCUUUUGGUGGAGUUUUCCUGAAAAUGUUUUUUGAUGGACUAUUCUUCUUCAUAAACUUAGUUUCCGGGAGAGUGGAAAAAAAUAAUUCAUAAGUGUUGUAAAUGCUCUGGGAGACGUUUUAAUGUUCUUCCUUCCUCACAUACAAAAAGCUAUAUCACAUUUGUGUUUAUGUACUGCAUGCAGUGUUGACACUUACAAAGAAUCAAUAAUUGCAACCCUGGUAUGCAAAAUCAUAAGAUUUAUUCAAAAAAUAAGAGUAUAUUUCAGCUCGUUACUUUAAAAAUAACUAUAUAAAGUUGAUCUAUCUUCAAGCUUCCCAUCAAUUUUCAGCCCCAGAGCACCUGGUCCCCUAGAGGGUCACCCUGGUCUCAGGUCCCCCAGAUGGUUCAGUAUCCCAUUCCCAGAACUCUACUACCAUUUCUAGCAUCAUCAGUUCUUCCAACAUUCAUUUAUCAAUUAAUUACAAACAUAUUUUUCAUCUCCAAAUAUAUAUAGCUUUAGUUCUCCAACUUUCCUAAUAGCAUUUUUCUCCAUCCUAGAGAUUCUAAGGUGAUAAGAAUCUAAAUCUCUGUCAGCUAUCAAUUCAAAAGAAGGAUGCCCAUCUUAGCAUUCUUCCAUUAGUUUUCAUUUAACAGGAGGAGGCCUGGUGAAGGAACACCCAGGAUCAAUUUUAGAGAUGAUGAAUUUACUCUAUGGGAACCCAGGGUUUUCCUGUCAUAUCCUUCCUCCAGUAAUAAUCUUUAGAGGAAUAAGGGAGACGUUGACUUUUCCCAACCAGGUCCCCUUUCAUGGGGCAGGAAGACUGGCCAACAAUAUAAGAUAUUUUUCCAGGAAAAGUAAAAUUCAAGAGGAAGCUGGAGCUGCUUUUGCCAUCCUGGUGAACUGUAUCUGAAAGUGAAGGCUAUCAGCUGUAUCUGAAAGUGUCCUCCUUAUUUCUCCUAAAAUUAUCAUAGAAUCAUAGAAUGGUUUGAGUUGGAAGGGACCUUUAAGAUGAUCUGGUUCCAAUCCCCUGCUAUAGGCAGGGACACCUCCCACUAGGCCAGGAUGCUCAAAGUCCCAUCCAGUCUGGCCUUGAAUGCUUCCAGGGAGGGGACAUUCACACCCUUCCCAGGAAACCUGUUCCAGUGUCUCACCACCUUCAUAGUAAAGAAUUUCUUUCCAGUAGCUAGUCUAAACUUACCCUCUUCCAGUUUAAAACCAUUUUCCCUCAUCCUGUCACUAUGUGCCCUUCUAAAAAGUCCCUCCCCAGCUUUCCCAUAGGCCUCCUUCAGGUACUGGAAGGUCACUGUAAGGUCCCCUUGAAGCCUUCUCUUCUUCAGGCUGAAGAGCCCCAGCUCUCUCAGCCUGUUUGAAAUGAUUGCUUCCCACUGUAUCACAAAUUAUGAGCUCAUUGUGUGCAGAGCACACUGAUGAAAUGGUUUGCCAACCAUGCACAUUGCCAACCAUCUACAUUUGUGACAGAGUGCUUUGGCUAGAAAAUAGAUCUUUUUUUCUCUUCUUACCAUACAAUUCAUCCCACUUGCCAGAGGUCAGCAUUGUUUCAUGGCAGGACUCUGCCUCCCCUGAUGGCCAUGCUACUGUUUUUAGGUAGAGUUCACUGUGUAAUAACCUGAUGACACAGAAUGUGCUCAUUCAUAAGAGUUGCAGUGCUGGGAUCAGAGUUCCAUCUUGUGCUCUGUCCUUGCUUGCAGGACACCAAUACCGGCUGUUUCCUGCUGUAGAGCUACAGCACCACUGAAAUUUGCAGAAUGUUUUUAGCAGGGAUGGGAAGUGUCCAGAGGAAGCAGAUGGGAUGAAAGGAAGAGU